rnacentral:rRNA from 1 species
CCAAUAGCGUAUAUUAAAGUUGUUGCAGUUAAAAAGCUCGUAGUUGAAUUUCGGGGUUAGUAGGUUGGUCGUGCCUAUGGUAUGUACUGGCUUUACUGAUUCCUCCUUCUUGAAGAACUGUAAUGUCAUUAAUUUGGUGUUGCAGGGAAACAGGACUGUUACUUUGAAAAAAUUAGAGUGUUUAAAGCAGGCUACCGCUUGAAUACAUUAGCAUGGAAUAAUGAAAUAGGACGUUUGAUCCUAUUUUGUUGGUUUCUAGGAUUGACGUAAUGAUUAAUAGGGAUAGUUGGGGGCAUUAGUAUUCAAUUGUCAGAGGUGAAAUUCUUGGAUUUAUUGAAGACUAACUACUGCGAAAGCAUUUGCCAAGGAUGUUUUCAUUAAUCAAGAACGAAAGUUAGGGGAUCGAAGACGAUCAGAUACCGUCGUAGUCUUAACCAUAAACUAUGCCGACUAGGGAUCGGAUGAUGUUAAUUUUUUAAUGACUCAUUCGGCGCCUUACG